AUUGAACGCUGGCGGCAGGCCUAACACAUGCAAGUCGAACGAGUGGCGGACGGGUGAGUAAUGUCUGGGAAACUGCCUGAUGGAGGGGGAUAACUACUGGAAACGGUAGCUAAUACCGCAUACCAUGGGAUGUGCUCAGAUGGGAUUAGCUAGUAGGUGGGGUAACGGCUCACCUAGGCGACGAUCCCUAUCUGGUCUGAGAGGAUGACCAUCCACAAGGGAACUGAGACACGGUCCAGACUCCUGCGCGAGGCAGCAGUGGGUAAUAUUGCACAAUGGGCGCACGCCUGAUGCAGCCAUGCCGCGUGGAUGAAGAAGGCCUUCGGGUUGUAAAGUACUUUCAGCUGGGAAGCGUUACCCGCAGAAGAAGCACCGGCUAAAUCCGUGCCAGCAGCCGCGGUAAUAC
rnacentral:rRNA from 1 species